AUGCUAAACAGUUUAUUUGUACUCCUCUAUGACACACAUGGUGAGAAUUUCAAUUGCCUACUUCUCACGUUCUCGCUAGCCGCCUCCUCAAAACCCAUUGGAGGAGAAGGAGGCGAGGACAGAGGAUGUGAGGAGUGUGCAAUUGAGAUUCUCCCAUGGUAUAAAGAUGGGGUGAAACAAGGCAAUGAGAAUGGGUGUGUUUGAGUGGUACGGCUAAAGCAACCGACUGUAGACGUGGGAGGAGAAGCCGGACACUAAUGUGGUUUUCAAACAGCAAAGCUCAGAAUAACAUGGCAGGGUUGCCAUUGUUAACUUUUUCUUUUAUAAUGUCAAAAUAAACAUCUCCAACCCCCAUAUCACUCAAACUGAAAUCAAAUGUGUGUACAUUGUAGGCUACAAUCAAUUAGUGAGAGAGAGCCUAAAAUAUCGCACUCAUUUGUAUAUAUCUUGUUUGAGUCACUUUCUCGUGGGUUAAACAAAAACACCCUCAUGAUUGGUUGACAAUAGAGCCUCCCACAAUGCAGUAGAUUGCUGCAGGAAGAAGUUAAUGAAGAGCGACUGCAGAAACUUGCAGUCGACUGCAGUCUAAGCUUCAUUACCUUUUGAUCACGUGAUUUUUGUAAAGUUAAUGCAGGCGACAUGUAGGCGCAAGUCAGACAAUUUUUAUUCUCAUAAUGCAACACACUUUGAAAGGCGGUGACCAAUGCACCGACUUGACAAAAGUGAUCCGCUCGAACGCGCCCAAUGUGACAAGUUGUUUCUGCGCCCAGGCUGAAAAUGCUAACCUGUCAAGCCAAUAAUAGUGGCUUGACAGGUUAUGACUAAAGGGAGUUUACCUCAACGUUUGUUUGUCAGACGCUUACAUGUGCAUAUUGCGUGAUUUAAACAACAUAUGGCGUGGACUUGAGAUCAUUUUUCAUGUAUGAAAGUUUGAUUAUUGGGUGAACUAUCCCUUUAAGUGUCUACUCUCAUACCCUCAUCUCAGCCUCGGAAGUAGGUGGACACACGCAAGGACAGUCAAUAGCAAACACAGAGAUAGAAAUGACCAUGAGCGCUAAAGUCACCCUCAAGCACUAAUCUAGGGUCAGUUGUCCAUUUUUCCCUCCAAAUGUUUAAAGUUAGGAUUGAGGGAAGGUCAUUUGAUUCUAAAUAUGUGGUCAGGGGCAACUUGACUACUGAAAAUGCCCCUGAUGCAAGCAAAUUUGGACAGACAGUUUGAGAAAAGAUAGGUGAGAGACGAGGUGAAUUAUAGUUCAGCUAUGCUACCUGCUAUGUACACGUCACGAGGGAUUUAUAAAAACAUACAGGAACUUUUCUCGCUUUUUCACAUGUUCAAGAAAAAGAACCAGGCAGACAGAAAAAAAGGAGAAUCUAUCAAAAGGUUCAAAAUUUGUUUGUAAAUACAUCCUCUCUUAUACCUCUGUUAAUGACAAUUUGUUAGUCUGUCUUUCAGAAGAUUUAAAACGAAUAAAAUAUAAUCUCAUAAUCUAAUGCAAACAAAAAAUACUUUAAAAGUACAGUAUUUAAAAUUGCAAAAAAAUUCCACAAUUUGUAUUAAUGCUAAAGAGCGGACGCACAAUUUACAAUGAACAAUUUUCCAAGAUCUUUUCGUAUUAGUAACUCAAAAGCAAUUGAGAUGGAUAACGGGGGAAAAUCUGGUGUCCAAUCUUUUGUGUCCAAACCCAGAAAUAAUUCAACACAGAUGAACAAACCAUUGGAUAUAAGGUGGAAAUGUGCUUGUGCAAAUUUUCAAUUGGCCCUAUUGUGUUGUCAAUGGCAGUCUUAAAUAGGAUUGAGCAGUUACACACAAAUGGGAGAAAUCAGCUCCACUGGCAAGAGAAGUGGACAAUUGCUUAUGGCUAGUCAACCUUUUUGGUUGUAAUGCCUUAGUUUGACCAGAAGAGAGCAACAUUUCAUUUAAAAAAAUGUGCCGUUUUCACAAAUGAUUGUGACUGCAGAUUCUGUAGGU
rnacentral:lncRNA from 13 species